UUAUUGUUUAAUUUCGCUUUGUGUGGUUUUCAAUGUGUCAUUUGGUUAGGUCAUGUAGCGCCUGAGUCGAUAUGAAGUUGAACUGGAGGAUGGCUGGGUAGCGUUAGCUUCAGUUCAACUUCAUAUUGACUCAGGCGCUACAUGGCCUAACCAAAUGACACAUUGAAAAGCACACAAAGCAAAAUCAAACAAUAA